UCCUGGAUGGCAGCAGCUCUAAACAUGUGCCAGUCUGUGCACUCAAAAAAAGUCCUGUAGAGCUGCUGUAAAUUCAUCUGUCCACACGUUUCACCCUUUUAAUUAGGUGGGAGUAAUUGGGCAGGAGAAGAAGGGAAAUGUUAUUAAUUAGCGCCUGGUGGAAUGGCAAACAGCAGCAACAAAAACACUAGUGAACUUUCUAGCAGAUAGUGUUGUUAAACUUGACAUCUGGGUAAUGUUGUCCAUCAACUUUGACUACGUUUGAGCACCAAACAUUAUUGAUGUAAACAUAGACCCUCUUCUCUUUUUACAGUCUUGUGUUCUGUCGGUAUGGAACACAAAGUAUUUUAAUGAACAUGGUUUCUACAGGGUGACAGUGAAAGUAUUCAUUUUGGGUUAGAAAUGUUUAAGAACUCAGCUGUGGAGCGAUUAGGCCUUAAAAUUAGUGCUUAAUGCUUUGCCGCAUCUGGUGGAAUCCCAUGCAUUGUCUAGAAUGGCCGUGAUCAGCUUCGGCAGCUGCGUAGCAGCCCAGUGGAAUCAAGCCUUGAAGAUUUGGUUUACGAAUCAAACCAAUGCAAGGAUCAAACAUUGUUCGAGUUGGAUCAGAGAGCAGUUGUAAAACUGAACAUGGACAAUGGUCGCUCUCUGGGCCUAAUGAUCAGGGGUGGUGCUGAGUAUGGACUGGGGAUCUACAUCACUGGAGUGGACCCUGGAUCUGCUGCAGAUGCUGGUGCACUAAAGCAGCAACAACCACCAGCGUUACAUGUCAUAGACCCACUCCAUUUGCUCCUGUUCUUUCCAUCAUGUCAUGUCCAUUCACCAGCCCCCAUCUCUUUCUCUUACACACUAAUGCAGCCCCCUCUACUGGCUUCAGCGGCUACUAUGGAGGCAGAUGGUUCACCGCUAAGUGGGCACCAGAACUGUUCUUACUCUCCUCCUCCUCCGCCCUUUACAAACCAUAAUAAUCAUCGCUGCCAUUCUUUGGGGGCAUGAGUGGUCCAAAAGUCAUUCUGGUACACACAGACAACCACAAUGCCGUUGACAUCGAAAACCAAGCUCGCUCCCACCCACUCGACAUGAAGUUCAUCUGCAGACAGACAUUAAUCCCCACCCAACACCAAUUCAUCAUCCGUGUCGUUGGUCUUCCCAUGCCUACCUUAGCUACGUCCACAACAACCUCAGCAAUGUUCAAAGAGCCCAUCUCCAUUAAGUCUAGUAACUAAUUUUGGGGGUUGAUAAGCAAGCUCAAGAUGAGCCUGGCAACCAAACCCUAAACAGCCAUCUUCAUUCCUCCGUUCUCGACCCAUUCAACCCUUUCCCCUCUAUCCCUCUCUCAUAAAUACUCCUCAUUAUCCAAAUAAACUACCUUUUUAUACCUCACGUUGGCGCGGUCUUUGUUAGUGAAAUUAAGUUAUAUAACUAAAGUUCAGAAACAGGACCACACCUCUCUCUCACUAAUUCAACCACCUGCAUUUCAUUCAAUUCCUCUUCCUCGUGCCUUCCUAAUCCAAUCACCUGCAUAUACGUAUAUAAGCUCGUCCAAACACUUUCUCUGUCAUUUGUCUCAGUUCUCACAUCCCUUCCCCCCAAACCCCCUUUCUCCUUCUCUCUCGACGGGCAGCACAGUGUCCAAGCGGACAACACUGUGGCAUCACAGCAAGAAGUUUGUGGAGUUUGUAUGUGCUCACGUGGGUUUCUGCCGGGAAUAAACUACCUUUUUACUACCUGUUAAAUUAGAUAUUUCAGUAUGAAAUAUUUUCAGUAAAAAAGGGUGAAGCAUCUGGCCAUGAAG